CUCUAGGAGUAAACGGUUGAAGAAUUUCUUCAGUAAUUUCUCAGGGAAAAAGUCAUUUGAGAACACGAUCCAUCAGAGAGUCAAGCCUGGACUUCAACCCAGCUGUGAGUCCUUAAGUAGUGAUACCCCUAAAGGUUUUAACAUCCAGCAGGCUUCUCCUGCAGAGAGGAUCUAUGGGGGACCUGCUGAACCUGGACCUGGACCUGAACCCAAACCCGAACCUGGACCUGAGUCCAUAUGUGUGUUCUUCAAAAGUGAUCAGUCUAGAGAAGGCCCCAUUACUUUUAAACACCAGCAAGCGUCUGCUGCAGA